AUGCGCGCGCUUUUUUGGAACCUGCGGGGCUUUGGCCACGAUGGCCGCCGCAGGCAGCUCAUUGACUACAUGCGCGAUGAGUCCAUUGAUGUGGUAGCAAUUCAAGAAACGAUGCGCACCGAGUUCUCUCUUGUUGAACUUGAGCGACUCAGCAGACAUCUGUUUGCAUGGCAUUGGCUGCCAUCUAGUGGAGUGAUAGGUCACUCGGGUGGCAUCCUCCUAGGGGUGAAGGAUGCGACCUUUGAGGUGGGAUCCAUGGACCAUGGAUCCCACUUCGUUAGCAUGGAGGUGUGGGAACGUGAUGUGAACUUCAAGUGGGAGAUCAUUGUGGUUUAUGGCCCUGCCGACCAUAGCUGCUCGGCCGCUUUCUUCGCCGAGCUCCGCAUCAAGAUCUCCUCUGCGACCCUCCCCGUGGUUGUUGGGGGGGGGGGGGCUUCAACCUUCUGCGCGCUCCAGAGGAUAAGAGUAAUUCGCGCGUAG
rnacentral:rRNA from 1 species